rnacentral:rRNA from 1 species
UACGUAGGGUCCGAGCGUUGUCCGGAAUCAUUGGGCGUAAAGCGCGCGUAGGUGGCUUCGUAAGUCCGUUGUGAAAGUCAAAGGCUCAACCUUUGAAAGCCGAUGGAUACUGCGGAGCUAGAGUACGGAAGAGGCGAGUGGAAUUCCUGGUGUAGCGGUGGAAUGCGCAGAUAUCAGGAGGAACACCAAUAGCGAAGGCAGCUCGCUGGGACGUUACUGACACUGAGGCGCGAAAGCGUGGGGAGCGAACAGG